rnacentral:rRNA from 1 species
GACGAACGCUGGCGGCGCGCUUAACACAUGCAAGUCGAACGGAAAGGCCUGCUUUCCCUUGUGGAUUGCGGGUACUCGAGUGGCGAACGGGUGAGUAACACGUGAGUGAUCUGCCCCCAACUUGGGUAUAAGCCUGGGAAACUGGGUCUAAUUCCCGAUAGGACUGCAGGGUGGUGCCUGUGGUGGAAAACGAUUUUCUAGUGGUUGGGGAUGAGCUCGCGGCCUAUCAGCUUGUUGGUGGGGUAAUGGCCUACCAAGGCGGCGACGGGUAGCCGGCCUGAGAGGGUGGACGGCCACAUUGGGACUGAGAUACGGCCCAGACUCCUACGGGAGGCAGCAGUGGGGAAUAUUGCAGAAGGGGCGGAAGCCUGAUGCAGCGACGCCGCGUGGGGGAUGACGGCCUUCGGGUUGUAAACUCCUUUCGACCGCGAGGAAGCCACCUGGUUGGAAGGGUGGUGACGGUAGUGGUAGAAGAAGCACCGGCUAACUACGUG